rnacentral:rRNA from 1 species
AUUGAACGCUGGCGGCAUGCUUUACACAUGCAAGUCGAACGGUAACAGGCCGCAAGGUGCUGACGAGUGGCGAACGGGUGAGUAAUGCAUCGGAACGUGCCCAGUCGUGGGGGAUAACGCAGCGAAAGCUGCGCUAAUACCGCAUACGAUCUAUGGAUGAAAGCGGGGGACCGUAAGGCCUCGCGCGAUUGGAGCGGCCGAUGUCAGCUUAGGUAGUUGGUGGGGUAAAGGCUCACCAAGCCAACGAUCUGUAGCUGGUCUGAGAGGACGACCAGCCACGCUGGGACUAAGACACGGCCCAGACUACGGCGGGAGGCAGGGGUGGGGAAUUUUGGACAAGGGGCGCAAGCCUGAUCCAGCAAUGCCGCGUGCAGGAAGACGGCCGUCGGGUUGUGAACUGCUUUUGUACGCGACGAAACGGUCCUGGUUAAUACCCGGGGCUAAUGACGGUACCGUAAGAAUAAGCACCGGCUAACUACGUGCCAGCCGCCGCAGUAACAC